CGGGCUGUAGUGUAACGGUAGCACGAGUCCAUGGGGUGGAUUUAGUCCGAGUUCAAAUCUCGGCAGCCCGACAA
rnacentral:tRNA from 1 species